GACGAACGCUGGCGGCGUGCUUAACACAUGCAAGUCGAACGGAAAGGCCCUGCUUUUGUGGGGUGCUCGAGUGGCGAACGGGUGAGUAACACGUGAGUAACCUGUCCUUGACUUUGGGAUAACUUCAGGAAACUGGGGCUAAUACCGGAUAGGAGCUCCUGCUGCAUGGUGGGGGUUGGAAAGUUUCGGCGGUUGGGGAUGGACUCGCGGCUUAUCAGCUUGUUGGUGGGGUAGUGGCUUACCAAGGCUUUGACGGGUAGCCGGCCUGGGAGGGUGACCGGCCACAUUAGGACUGAGAUACGGCCCAGACUCCAACGGGAGGCAGCGGUGGGGAAUAUUACACAAUGGGCGGAAGCCUGAUGCAGCAACGCCGCGUGCGGGAUGACGGCCUUCGGGUUGUAAACCGCUUUCGCCUGUGACGAAGCGUUAGUGACGGUAAUGGGUAAAGAAGCACCGGCUAACUACGUG
rnacentral:rRNA from 1 species